rnacentral:rRNA from 1 species
UUCAAGUUUCUGACCUAUCAGCUUUAGACGGUAGGGUAUUGGCCUACCGUGGCUAUGACGGGUAACGGGGAAUUAGGGUUCGAUUCCGGAGAGGGAGCCUGAGAAACGGCUACCACAUCUAAGGAAGGCAGCAGGCGCGCAAAUUACCCAAUCCUAAUACAGGGAGGUAGUGACAAGAAAUAACAAUACAGAGCCUUACGGUUUUGUAAUUGGAAUGAGUUAAGUAUAAACCCCUUAACAAGUAUCAAUUGGAGGGCAAGUCUGGUGCCAGCAGCCGCGGUAAUUCCAGCUCCAAUAGCGUAUAUUAAAGUUGUUGCAGUUAAAAAGCUCGUAGUUAAUUUUCUGUUAAUUUUUAUAUACAAUGCUACGGUAUUUAUAUAAUAUUAACAUAAUUCAUAUUACUUUUUAAGUAUAUGAAACUUUACUUUGAGAAAAUUAGAGUGCUUAAAGCAGGCUAUUGCCUUGAAUACUCCAGCAUGGAAUAAUAUUAAGGAUUUUUAUUCUUCUUAUUGGUUCUAGAAUAAAAAUAAUGAUUAAUAGGGACAGUUGGGGGCAUUUGUAUUUAACAGUCAGAGGUGAAAUUCUUAGAUUUGUUAAAGACAAACUACUGCGAAAGCAUUUGCCAAGGAUGUUUUCAUUAAUCAAGAACGAAAGUUAGGGGAUCGAAG